CCUACGGGUGGCUGCAGUGGGGAAUAUUGGACAAUGGGCGAAAGCCUGAUCCAGCCAUGCCGCGUGUGUGAAGAAGGCCUUCGGGUUGUAAAGCACUUUCAGUGGGGAAGAAAGCCUUGGGGCUAAUACCCUCGAGGAAGGACAUCACCCACAGAAGAAGCACCGGCUGAACUCCGUGCCAGCAGCCGCGGUAAUACGGAGGGUGCGAGCGUUAAUCGGAAUUACUGCGCGUAAAGCGCGCGUAGGCGGUCUGAUAAGCCGGUUGUGAAAGCCCCGGGCUCAACCUGGGAACGGCAUCCGGAACUGUCAGGCUAGAGUGCAGGAGAGGAAGGUAGAAUUCCCGGUGUAGCGGUGAAAUGCGUAGAGAUCGGGAGGAAUACCAGUGGCGAAGGCGGCCUUCUGGACUGACACUGACGCUGAGGUGCGAAAGCGUGGGUAGCAAACAGGAUUAGAUACCCCGGUAGUC
rnacentral:rRNA from 1 species